rnacentral:rRNA from 1 species
GAUGAACGCUGGCGGCGUGCCUAAUACAUGCAAGUCGAGCGAACAGACGAGGAGCUUGCUCCUCUGACGUUAGCGGCGGACGGGUGAGUAACACGUGGAUCACCUACCUAUAAGACUGGGAUAACUUCGGGAAACCGGAGCUAAUACCGGAUCAUAUAUUGAACCGCAUGGUUCAAUAGUGAAAGACGGUUUUGCUGUCUCUUAUAGAUGGAUCCGCGCCGCAUUAGCUAGUUGGUAAGGUAACGGCUUACCAAGGCAACGAUGCGUAGCCGACCUGAGAGGGUGAUCGGCCACACUGGAACUGAGACACGGUCCAGACUCCUACGGGAGGCAGCAGUAGGGAAUCUUCCGCAAUGGGCGAAAGCUUGACGGAGCAACGCCGCGUGAGUGAUGAAGGUCUUCGGAUCGUAAAACUCUGUUAUUAGGGAAGAAAAAAUGUGUAAGUAACUAUGCACGUCUUGACGGUACCUAAUCAGAAAGCCACGGCUAACUACGUG